rnacentral:lncRNA from 1 species
UCCAAUAUUGGGAAUAAAACUAGUAAUCCAAAGGCCAUUAGAGUUGCAAACUCAACCCCCUGAAACAUACUUAUUACUGUUGUAGUUCACCGUACCAUCAACAUUCAGCUUCAUCCUUCUUUCAAGGGGCUUUCACCAACCUGCUAUAUGCUUCUUGAUCUUGAGAGGUUUGGUACACCAGCGGUCAUUAGCCUGCAUAACAUACUUAGCUAAACUUAUACGUUGAGCAUUACCUUUACCAUUACCAAAAUUAAACAUGCAAUUGUUUCUUCGCACCCGAAAGUAAUAGCUUCCAAUUGAACCCUUUAAGGCUUUACCCAUGCAUUGCGCUGGUUUAGCAAGUUACCACAAAGCCAAGCAGCGGAAGGCAUGUGAUUGAUAAAAGGACCAAUUUGCUCCAAAUUGCUGCAGCCUAAAGUACAAUCUCUUGGAGCAUGUGUUGUAGUAUCAAGUCCCUUACCACACACUUGAUCCGCCACAUGCAGCUUGCGUCCUUCCACGUUCAUCAAAAGUUUCCCAUCACUUGCUAACCAAAGGAAAUUCUUGAUUCUUUGUGGACCGUUAAAAUUCCAGAUUUUAUCCAUUUCUCGUCUUUAUUUCCCCAGUCUGUUAGCAUUGAGAAACUUAUACACCUCAACAAUCCACAACCUAAUAUUUUUGGGCCGUUGCCGAAAGCAAGUAUCGAGUGGGGGGAUGUGUACCUGCAACUGCAGUAGUUAUCAAUGUGGAACUCUCAAGGCAAUAUUAAAAUCCUAUACCCAAUUCCCAUCCACAUUUACCUAAUCUCCUGUCGUCCAGGUAUUCCAACUUGCAUUUUCCAGAGAGGGGGACCCAGACUGACAUUGAAUCUUGGUACCAUCCCCACAAGCCCACGCCAGAUUCUUCUUUAAGGGGUCUCUGGGGGCGAGUAAUGCUAUCAGUAACAUCAUCCACUCAUUUCUAUUUAUUCCUUACUAUUUUCGCUAAUAACAACGGCCGACAUUAGUAAUAAUAAUAUUCAACCCUAAUUUGAGUAAAAAGGAAAGAUUAAGACACCAUAGCUACCUCAAGCCAAACCAAAUCCAUUUUUUUUAUUUAAUAUAUAAAUAGUUUUCAAUUAUUACAUAAAUUAGUAAAAAUAACUUUAAAAUAUUAUUAUUAUUUAAAUAUAAAAACUAAUGAAUCAAAUCAAUAAUAAUGGGAUUCGAUUUGAUUAUCUUUAAAAUCUAAAUUAACUAUAUAAUAACCGCAAAUUCUUUUCCCACACUCAUUCCAAGUCAAACCACUGGCUAUUGCUAUUAGAUCUGAGGCUGCGACAAAAGUAAAUUUUUAAGUGAAUAUUCCUUUUUUUGGAAUAGUUAUUUAUUAAAAUUUAAAGAGUAAACUACAAGUUUAGUCAUUUAUGGUUGUUUAAGUUUAAAUUUUGGUUACCAAACUUUAUAAAAUUACUAAAUAGACACUAACAUUAUUAAUUUAUUAUGUUAUGGUUUCUUAGCUCUUAACUCCUGUUAAGAGUGUAACUGUAAGUUGACAUGACACAUUAUCAUUUCAAACAAAAUUUUACAUCAAAUUUUAUAACUAGCCCUUAAAAAUUUUCUUUUGAGUGAACUUAAUUCUUUUACUUUUAUUUUUUCCUUUUUUUUCUGUAUUUUCCUAAAAUUAGAAGGCAUUAAAGCUUUGGGAAAUUAGGGAUAAAUGUGUCACAGGUCGCGGAUCAAAGCCUGUGACAAAUGCAUACAAAAAGUUCGUUGGAGGUCAAUUAAUUAAAUAGGGCUCAUUUGACUCACAUGAACUACCCUGAUUUGUGAAAUCAUUCUUCAAAGUAAUAAAAUACUUCGAGAGCAUUUACUCAAACAUUUAAUGUAAUACCCCGAAAGUUUUUACAGUAAAAUAUUAUCCCUGAUAUAGUAAAAUAAGGAAAUAAAGUGACAAAAAGGGAAUUUUUGAGUGAUGUCAAUAUUGAGAAGUAUAUUAUGAUAUAUUAAUUCAAGAAAGGACUAAAUUGCAAAGAUGAAAAAAGUCUUGUUGCACAAGAGUAAAUACUCAAAAUUUAAGGGGUUGAAGUGUAAAUAUAAAAAAGUUGAAGGACUAAUGGUGCAAAUAUUUUAAGGGUGGAAUGAUCUAGAAACCAAGAAAAAUUGAUGAAUUAGGACCAAAUUGAAUAGGUAAAAAAAAUUAUGAGGGACUAAAUCGCAAUUUUACGAAAUUAAGUGAUGACUCAAGGAUGGAAUUCUAAAAGAUCAUGAAGGGCAAAAUGGUCAAUUAGUAAGAGAGAGAAUUCUAGAAUGUAAUGAUUAUAUUGAUGAUAUUUUAAAUUAAUUAAUUAGAUAAAUAUUAUUUUAUUAAUAUUUUAUGAGAUGUUUAUUAUUAUUAUAUUAUUAUUUAUUUAGUAUAAAAGGAAGGAAAGAUGAAGAAUUAUCAACACAUUUCCUUUUCCAUGCAAACUAACGUAAGAUAAGAAGAAGAAAAGAAGUUUUCUUUCUUUACAGUUUAGUCCUUCUACCAAAAAUUCAUUAUUUUCACCUAAAAAUUGAAAGAAUUUCCAUAGCCAUCAAGAGAGAAAGAUAGCAAGGAGAUGAUGGGGAGCAAGAAUAUCAAGUUGGAUUCAAGAAAUCGAAGCUGGAGGAGAGAGAAAAAUCAAGUUAAAGAUUGAAGUCAAUAAGAAAAGGUAAGUACAUCAAGAUUUCAAUAUGUUUUUAAGUUUGUUAUUAUUGAUAAAGAAUGGAAAUAAUGUUAUAGUAGAGUUUUCUUACAUAAGGUCCUAUGUUCUUGAUAUGUUAGUGAAGAAAAAAUAAGAGAAAGUGAUGAGAAAUGGUGUAGAAAAAGAAAAUAAGGAUGUUAUAACAUGGUAAUUAAUAUCUUGUACUAAAACAGUUUUGGACAGCAGCAGUAGUCUAACUUAGAAAAAUCAUCAAAAAUUGUAUAAAUCUAAUUAUAGGAUGAAUAAAACAUGAAAUUAAAGCUUAUUAAGUCUAGUUUCUUAUAGAAGAAAUUAUGUAAGCAAUGGAAUUCUAAAUCAUGAGCUAUGAUGAAUUUUGUGAGACAAGGUCAGAGUGAUUUCGGGUUCCCCUGUUCUGAAUUUGUAAAAUCAUAAAAAAAAUUGGAUGAAAAUAAUUAGGGGCUUAAAUUUAUAUUUUUAGAAUUCUGAAUGAUUCUAUUUUCAAUAGAAACAAAUAUGAACAUCAUUCGAAUUCUGUACAAGGAGAUAAUUAAUUUUUAGCGAAGAAGGGUUACAACUGUUAGACAACAGAAUAGGGGUAACUUUAAAAAAUAAACUGUACUUAUUGACUAAACCAAAAAAUUCUGAAAAUUUUAUGGUAAGAAGAUAUAUGAGUCUAGUUUCAGGGAAAAUUAGCGGAUCUUAAUUUGGAGUCCUAUAGCUCCAGAUAUAAAUAAUUUAGUGACUAUGACACAGAUGGACAGCUUGAAUAUUCAUAAAAGUAAAUAAUAAAGAUUAUAGAUAAUGUUACUUAUAAGUGUGCUACAUACAUCAAGGAUGUGGAAUGGAGAGGAGGAGGAGGAAAACAUAUAUGAAUAUUCAUUAAGCUGUAAACUAAGCUGUAAAUAUUUUUAUAAAUAUUUACGGAGUUUCAUUAAGGUGGUAUUAAAGUUUCAUUGAAAAAAUUUUAACGUUUCGAUAGUCAAUUAAUUCAAAAGGACUAAAUUGUAAAUGAUGUAAAAUUUAAUUACUAUUUGAUUUGAGUGAUUAAAUGGUUAAUUGAAUAAAGGAAAAGGACUUAAAUGGUAAUUCAAUCAUGUGUGUUGGAUCUUAUAUGUGAUUUUUAUGGCUAAUAUGUUGGCAAUCAUGUGUUUGGGCUUUUGGCCGAAUUGGUUGUGAUAUGCUAUAUUUACUUACCUAUUUUUAUGGAUAUAUGGUAAGUUAAAUUCCGUGUUAUACGAACUUAAUAAGCUUAAAUGCUUACUCUAUGUUAUUUUCUGUGUUUUAUAGUAAUUCAGAAGCUCGAUUGGGUUGGAAGCUUGUCAGAGUUAUAUCACACUAUCCAUCGGUUAUAUCGGUACUUUUGGAUGUUUUGAUUUUGGUUAUAAUGGCAUGUAUAAGUUAUUUUGGCUAAAUGUUGGCCUAUAAGUGUUUUAUUGAGAUAAACCACUUAUUUGGCUUUUGUUUUGGUAUUUUGGUAUGUGCAUAAUUUGUCUUAUAAUGUUGAUGUGUGGAAUGAUUUGUGGUUGAAUGAUGAAAGGUAAAAUAGUAGUUGAAUAUGCAUAUGAGGUAUGUUUUAUAACUUGGUGUGAUUUGGUAUUAUGCUAUAGUAGGUGUAUAUAUAUUUGAUGCUAUUGAAUAAGUAGUACAAUUGGUACCAAAUGCUGAGUUUUGGUAAAUGAUUUACAUGUUGUGUAUUAAUGCAAUUAUACAUAAAAGUUGGUUGAUUACUUGGUUACAUGGAUUAUAUGGUUAAACAUGUUUAUAAUUGUCAUUUAAGGUGCCUAAGGGCAUAUUGGUUGUAUGUGAAUAUACUACAUGUUUAAGGCUUGAUUUUGCUUGUUUUGGAUGCCAUAAUAUGGCUUUUUUAUAUGCACAAUGUUAAGUGUAGGUAGAUGUCGUAUUGGGUGAGAAAUAUGGCUUGUAAAAUAGCCUAUUUUUGUUCCCACGGGCAAAGACACGAGCAUGUGUCUCAGUCGUGUGUUACACACGGCCAGGUGACAUGGCCUUGUGUCUCCUGUAGUUUUUAGAGGGUUACAAGUAAGGCUAUUACACGGCCUAGCACACAGCCUGGGACACGAGCGUGUGAGGUUACUUUGAAGGGUACACGGCCUAGCACACGGGCAUGUGAUUAAGUCAAAGAGUUACACGUGCACAAACACAGGCUGAGACACUGGCGUAUCUCUUGACUGUGUGAGUCAUAAGGCUUGGCCACACGGCCAUGUGACCACUGCAGUGUUGAAAAUUUUAAAUGUUUCUGAAAAAUUUUCUAAGUUUUCGAUUUAGUUCUGAUUUGUUUCUAAUGCGUAAUUUGGGCCUCGAUGGCUCGUAUAAGGAACAAUAUGUAUGAUUUUGAUUGGUUUUUGACAUAAAUGUUAUAUGAUAUGAAAUGUUUGCAUUUUCUAUCGGUUUAAUUUGUAAACUCCGGUAAUACUCAGUAAUCCUGUUCUAGUGACGGAUUCGGGUUAUAGGUGUUACAUUAAAUUUUAUAAUGAUAUAUUAGAUUAAUUUGAAAUUUUAUUAGCACAAAAAUUAUAAUUAAACUGUUAAAUAUAAAAGAUGAGUGGUAUACAUCAUAAGUGCAUGAAACGGUAUGUCAAAGCAUGUAAGCCUUAUCUUGUCUACAUUGUUCGUUAUGUUGUAAGCCAUUCUGUGAUGUACUGUUUUUCUUAUUGAAUGUUUAGCAAAUAUCCGAUAAUAUAAGAGAUAUGAAAGAAUAUAUAUGUUGGAGCACAAGUGACGUCAAUGAUUCUUCCAUCUCAAACGUUAUAAAUUAUUUUGAGAAUAAGAGUAAUGGUAAAAGCAAUUUGAUUAAAUAAAUUAUUAAAAAUUAAUAAAAUAUUAAAAUUUGGAUUAAUUAAUUUAAUUGAAUUUUUAGCUCAAUUCAAUAAAUUUUAAAUUUAUUUCCUAAUCAAUUUGGAUAAUAUUGGUGUUAACUUGUUUUAAUUUACUUUAAAUAAAAUUUAGAACUUAAGUUUUGUAAAUUUUUUAAAAAAAUAUUAGAAGAAUUAUGUUGCUGGUAUACAAAUUCAACUUGAUAUGAGUUUUAAUUUGAUUGAUGUGGAAUAUAAUUAUUGAAUUCUAAAAAGAUUUUAAAAAAUUCAAAAUCAAAUAUUUAUUGGAAUAUCGUCUCAUGGCUCUAAUGUUUCGACCGGGCAUUGGCUUUUGACAAAAGCACAUUUGACUAGGUGUGUAGCCAUUUUCAUUAGUUCAAACACGGUCCAUCGUGUCCUUUGAUUAUUGCUUUUGAAAAUGAUUAUAACAUUUUAAUGAUGAUGGGGUCAUAUUUGGUCGUAAGACAUAUAAUUAAUUUGGGUUUUAAUUAUCCUUAAUUGAUUUUCCUUUUUUUGAUGAUUGGAAGUUUUAAGAAUAUGAUAAGGCGUCAUUAUUAGAGAUAACAUAAGAAAGUAAAGCAUAUCUAAUUAAUUAUGCUAUCAAAAGUCAUAUGGGAGCUAGAAUCAUCACUCAGCAUUGUAUAUCAUAAAUAAACUAUUUCACUCUCCAUACUCCUCAUUUAUUAACAAAAGUUAUUUUAUUUGAUGCAAAUAAAUCAUACCUUGUUUGUGGAAAAUUAUUAUUAAAAAUUUUAUUACACGUGUAGAAAAUACUUUUAAAAAUAUUAUAUAAUAAAUAAUAAAAUAUAUAGUUUAUAAUUAAUUAAUAAUAAAAUAUGAAAUUGGUAUGAUAUUAAAUUUUAAAAAAUUAAAUUAAAGUAAACAUAUGAAUAUAUCAUAUUAAGAAUACUAAAUGUAUACAACUAUUUAUCAUAACGUGGUCAUUAAUCCUAGGUUGGUGUCAAGUUAAUUUGUGACAACAUCUUAAUCAACAACAUUAUUAAUAUAUGCAAUUAGUGGAUGUAAUAAAGUGUGCAUAACAAAAUUAAACUGUAAAAGUAGAUAAAAAUAAAGUUUUGGUUGAGCGAUGAACGUAGAAUUUUCCGAUGUAAUUGGCAUGAGUUCAGAUCUCAUCAUAUGUAUGUUUGUAUUGUUUUUUAUAUUGAAAAACUAAAAUAUCCUCAAGUAAUAUAAAUUUUGUUCAAUACGGAAUGACAUUUUUGUAAAUUCCUAAUUGAGUUGGUCCCGGUUAACUCGUGACACCAAAUUAGUCAAGGAUUUUAUUAAUAAUAUAGAUAUACAAUUGAUGAAGGUGAUAAUAUGUGCAUAACAAAAUUAAAACGUAAAAGUAAAACAAAGUAAAAUAUUGGUUGAGUGGUAAAUUGAGAGUUUUUCCAAUGUAACUAGUAUGGGUUCAAAUUUUUUUAUAUGCAUUUUUUUAUUUUUUAUUUUUAAAUUAAAAAGAUUAAAGUAUUUUUGAAUAAUAUAACAUGUUUUAAAUACAAAGUCACUUUUGUAAUUUUCUAAUAAAAUUGGACCCCAAUUGACUCAUGACACCAACUUAGUUAAUGAUUUUAUUAAUAGUAUAAAUAUAUGAUGAUAUAAGUAAUAAAGUGUGAAUAAUAAAAUUAAAAUGUAUAAAAAUAUUAAAAUAAAGCUUUAAUUAAGUGAUAAAUUAUAGGUUUUAUUAAACAUGGGUCCAAUAUUUAUACAUGUUAAUUUUUAGUUCUUUUAUUUAAAAAUUACAUAAAAAUAUGAAAAGACAAAAAUAUUCACAAAAAUAAUAAUAGUCAAGACAAAAAUAUUCACAAAAAUAAUAAUAGUUAUUUAAUGAAAAGGUAUAGUAGUAAUUUUCACUCCACCAACCCGUGAUACUAACUUUGUUAGGGGUUAUUAAUAGUAUAGAAGAUAAUUAUUUAAAAUUUAAUAUUUUGGAUUAAAAGUAGAUUAAAUAUCUCAAAAAAAAAUCCAUUUCGGUCUAUAAUAACUCUGUGGGCUUCAAACAUUGGCUGUGAAGGUUCAUGAUAUUCGGAACAGUAAGGUUGUAAAAAAGGGCUUAAGAGGUGAGUGCCUAACAAACUGAGCUAAAGCCCAUUGAUAUAAUAUUGGAGUCAGAUAAAAUAUCUUUUUGUUACCAAAACCAAAUGAUGACCGACGGCGUACAUGCUCCAAUAUUGGGAAUAAAACUAGUAAUCCAAAGGCCAUUAGAGUUGCAAACUCAACCCCCUGAAACAUACUUAUUACUGUUGUAGUUCACCGUACCAUCAACAUUCAGCUUCAUCCUUCUUUCAAGGGGCUUUCACCAACCUGCUAUAUGCUUCUUGAUCUUGAGAGGUUUGGUACACCAGCGGUCAUUAGCCUGCAUAACAUACUUAGCUAAACUUAUACGUUGAGCAUUACCUUUACCAUUACCAAAAUUAAACAUGCAAUUGUUUCUUCGCACCCGAAAGUAAUAGCUUCCAAUUGAACCCUUUAAGGCUUUACCCAUGCAUUGCGCUGGUUUAGCAAGUUACCACAAAGCCAAGCAGCGGAAGGCAUGUGAUUGAUAAAAGGACCAAUUUGCUCCAAAUUGCUGCAGCCUAAAGUACAAUCUCUUGGAGCAUGUGUUGUAGUAUCAAGUCCCUUACCACACACUUGAUCCGCCACAUGCAGCUUGCGUCCUUCCACGUUCAUCAAAAGUUUCCCAUCACUUGCUAACCAAAGGAAAUUCUUGAUUCUUUGUGGACCGUUAAAAUUCCAGAUUUUAUCCAUUUCUCGUCUUUAUUUCCCCAGUCUGUUAGCAUU